rnacentral:rRNA from 1 species
GAUGAACGCUGGCGGCGUGCCUAAUACAUGCAAGUCGAGCGAACAGACGAGGAGCUUGCUCCUCUGACGUUAGCGGCGGACGGGUGAGUAACACGUGGAUAACCUACCUAUAAGACUGGGAUAACUUCGGGAAACCGGAGCUAAUACCGGAUAAUAUAUUGAACCGCAUGGUUCAAUAGUGAAAGACGGUUUUGCUGUCACUUAUAGAUGGAUCCGCGCCGCAUUAGCUAGUUGGUAAGGUAACGGCUUACCAAGGCGACGAUGCGUAGCCGACCUGGGAGGGGUGCCGGCACAAUGGAACAUGAACACCGGUCAACCCCCCAAGGGGGGGACGCAGUGGGGAAUUUUCCCAAUGGGGGGAAAGCCGACGGAAGAACCCCCCGGGAGGUAAAAAGGUUUUUCGGAUCGUAAACCUCUUUUUUUGGGAAAAAAAAAAUGGUUAGGUCCCUAGGCCCCUUUGGAGGUUACUAAAACAAAAGCCCACGGUAAACCCCU